rnacentral:misc_RNA from 1 species
UUGGUUCUUUUCAGGCGAAACAAGUUGAGAAAUUCUCUUUCGAGUGUGUGUGCCUGUGCCUUGCCCCUGUGUGCGAGUCGGUGGGCCGCUAUAGUCGCUACAGUUCAGAAUUUAGUGAGCAAGCGCCGAACCAAGUGAAAGUGAUCAAUAAACGAAACAAUAACAACCAACAAAACAAAACAAAACAAAAAAAACAAGCCAAAAUACAAAUAGAAGUGAAAUCCUUAAGGAAACAGUUUACCGUUAAUUAGCAAAAAUGUCGGACAAUGAGGAUAUUAUGAGUGCCACCGAAGAGCAGGCGGAAGCCAGUCCCGCAUCGGUGCCAGAUGCCGAUGCGGAGAGCAAAAGCAGCGUUGUCACGGAGCGCACCGAGGAGGUGAUACCCGGGGAGAGCGAGAAAAUGGUCACCGAGACCAUCGAUGAGGAUGGUGACGUUGUCGAGGAGACAACCGAAGUUACCCGUAAAACGGUUAAGCGUACCAUGAAAAUAACUGAGACUUCUUCCACCACAAAGACAACAACGCUUACCACGCCUGCCAAGCUGUAUGGCAAGGAUCUGAGCGAGUACGAUGAUGUGGAUGUGGAGAGCCUUUUGGCGCAAUUGUCGCCCGAGGAGAUAACCAUACUGGCCAAAGAAGUGGAUCCUGAUGACAACUUCUUGCCGCCAGAUCAGCGCUGCAGCUACGAGUGCACCAAGGAUGCCACUGGGCCGCUGAAUCGCAAACAGCUCAUCGAGCAUAUUAAUAAGCAGGCAAUUGAGACGCCAGACGAGCCGGAGUUCGAGCCCUAUGUGCAGGGCAUGGUGCGCGGCAAGAAGUGGGUGCCACCGCCGCGAGAUGCUCGUGAUAUUGAGGUGGAGGAACAGAUCGCCAUUGAUAUGGGCGAGGAGUAUGAGCAUGCUCUCAGUGAUGCUACGCAGGAGGAGAUCAUCGAUUUGGCCGCCAUUCUUGGCUUCCACUCGAUGAUGAAUCAGGAUCAGUACCAUGCCUCGCUGCUUAACACGGGCCAGCCCGUUGGCUUGGGCUGGGAUGGUAUCACAAAGUCCACACAGCAGAAGCUGUACCCCAACGAUCCGCCCAACAGCACAGACGUGGAGGAGUCGAUUAAGCGCGUCAAGGAUGAUGAUUCCAAGCUGAUUGACCUGAACUUGAAUAACAUUAAGAAUAUAUCGGAUGAGAAGCUCGAACAACUUAUUGCCGCACUGCCUCAGAACGAACAUUUGGAAGUUCUAUCGCUGACAAACGUCGGCCUGACCGAUAAGACAGCUCUCCUGCUCGCCGAAGCGAUCGAGAAAAGCAAAACCCUGAGAGUAUUAAAUGUUGAAACCAACUUUAUCAGUCCGCCCGUAAUUGUCAGGUUGGUGCAAGCCCUGCUCAAGUGUCACACCAUCGAGGAAUUCAGGGCCUCCAAUCAGCGAUCUACGGUGCUUGGCAACAAGAUUGAAAUGGAGAUCACCAAUUUGGUGGAGAAGAACCCAUCGCUUCUGCGACUUGGCUUGCAUCUGGAGUUCAACGAUGCGCGUCAUCGCGUGGCCGCCCAUCUGCAGCGCAACAUCGACAGAAUCUUCCGCGUGCAAAAGAUAAAACCCAAUUUGCCAAAAUUGAUAUUGCCCAGCAACAUGGAGAUUGAACGGCAGCUGGGCCGCUCGGCCACGCCCACGCCGUCACCAUCGCCUUCACCGUCGCCCCAGCCGCCGGCCGACUAUGAUGUGGAGGUUGAUCCCGACAACAUGGUCAUUCGCGGCGGCAGCGGUGGCGUUGCCUACGAUCCAGAGUUCGAUCCCGAUAAUAUGGUGGUGCCCGGCAGUCGCGCCGUAACGCCCAACUACGAUGACGAGGGCGUCUAUCAAGCGCACACGAAUUAAAUGCGAUGUACAAUUUUUAAGUGAAACUAAAACCAAACCCAAUAAACCACAAAUAACUGCUAUAUAAAUAAAAUAUCAAAUGAAUAAUGUAAUAAAUUAGCAAACAAUUGCGAAGCCAAAAUGUUUAUGCUCCUUUUAUAAUUCAACAAAAAACAACAACAGCAAAAGCAGACCCACCUGAGCAGGAACAAGAACCACAACAGCAAAGCCAAACAACAAUCUCCAUGUAAAUGUAGCAUAACUUUCAGCGCAAACCCAUGUCAAACAUACGUGUGAAACGCCUCAAUCAGCGUAAAUAAAAAGACAAAACAUGCCACAGCAAACAACAAC